UUUAUGGAGAGUUUGAUCCUGGCUCAGGAUGAACGCUGGCGGCGUGCCUAAUACAUGCAAGUCGAGCGAACGGACGAGAAGCUUGCUUCUCUGAUGUUAGCGGCGGACGGGUGAGUAACACGUGGAUAACCUACCUAUAAGACUGGGAUAACUUCGGGAAACCGGAGCUAAUACCGGAUAAUAUUUUGAACCGCAUGGUUCAAAAGUGAAAGACGGUCUUGCUGUCACUUAUAGAUGGAUCCGCGCUGCAUCUCUGAUGUUAGCGGCGGACGGGUGAGUAACACGUGGAUAACCUACCUAUAAGACUGGGAUAACUUCGGGAAACCGGAGCUAAUACCGGAUAAUAUUUUGAACCGCAUGGUUCAAAAGUGAAAGACGGUCUUGCUGUCACUUAUAGAUGGAUCCGCGCUGCAUUAGCUAGUUGGUAAGGUAACGGCUUACCAAGGCAACGAUGCAUAGCCGACCUGAGAGGGUGAUCGGCCACACUGGAACUGAGACACGGUCCAGACUCCUACGGGAGGCAGCAGUAGGGAAUCUUCCGCAAUGGGCGAAAGCCUGACGGAGCAACGCCGCGUGAGUGAUGAAGGUCUUCGGAUCGUAAAACUCUGUUAUUAGGGAAGAACAUAUGUGUAAGUAACUGUGCACAUCUUGACGGUACCUAAUCAGAAAGCCACGGCUAACUACGUGCCAGCAGCCGCGGUAAUACGUAGGUGGCAAGCGUUAUCCGGAAUUAUUGGGCGUAAAGCGCGCGUAGGCGGUUUUUUAAGUCUGAUGUGAAAGCCCACGGCUCAACCGUGGAGGGUCAUUGGAAACUGGAAAACUUGAGUGCAGAAGAGGAAAGUGGAAUUCCAUGUGUAGCGGUGAAAUGCGCAGAGAUAUGGAGGAACACCAGUGGCGAAGGCGACUUUCUGGUCUGUAACUGACGCUGAUGUGCGAAAGCGUGGGGAUCAAACAGGAUUAGAUACCCUGGUAGUCCACGCCGUAAACGAUGAGUGCUAAGUGUUAGGGGGUUUCCGCCCCUUAGUGCUGCAGCUAACGCAUUAAGCACUCCGCCUGGGGAGUACGACCGCAAGGUUGAAACUCAA
rnacentral:rRNA from 1 species